rnacentral:tRNA from 1 species
UAAGUGAAUGCCGAAGGCACCUAUCUGUUAAUUAGGCCUGUGCUACAGCCGUAGCUCACUUAG